UAUUUAACUGGAGAAGAGAGGAAUGAUGAUGAGAUUACUGAGCACUGCUGAUUGCCUGCCCUAGCUGAAGGGCACUGUGAAUGACCUGGGUCACUUGGUCCAUGGGCUGAGGUGGCUCUGUCUCCCCGAUUCAACUCCUGCCAAGGCUCUCCUCAAGAAGCUGGGAAAACUUUUCUUGAAAUGAUCCUCCUCCGCCUUCUGACUGAAGAGUAUGACUGAUGCCUUUUCUUCCCCAGCGCAAUAGUACAUCUGUGGAGUAGAGAGACUAGUUUCAAGAGGUCACCUUGAUGCAGAAUCCAUGAUUUGAAAACUGCAAGUCUCUGUGAGGUUGGAACUGAUCCACAGGAACAACAGUAAUUCAUGCAACAAAACAUGUUAAAUGCUGUGAAAUGUUCCAGUCUUUGAGCUGCUUUGGUCCUGCUGUGUAAACGAACCUUUGAGCUGUCCAGAAUGCUUGCAAAGGCCAGAAAUAACUGAGGCAAGAAAGUGUGAGAGGGGGACAAUUGUCAUGACACUUUUUCUUUCAAAUCUCUACAAAGAGGCUACUAUGCUAUUCCUCAUGGGCAUGAUUUGCCCAUGG